rnacentral:misc_RNA from 1 species
GGUAGGUCUAGCCUUGCGACGAUUAGCGAUCGGCUGCUUCACAUCAUCGGCAGGAUAGAACUUGGGGGCCUUCUCCUCCGGCUUGGGCGCCGCCGGCGCCGCAUCGUGGCGGGGAAGAACGCCGCCGUUCUUGGCCUUGAUGGCCCAGAUCCCGCGCUUGUGGUACAUCUUCGACCGGGAGAACUUGCCGAUUCCCCGAAUGAGAUCCG